rnacentral:rRNA from 1 species
GCCCUAAAUCUAGCCUUCAAAAUUCGCAUGAACCCCAUCCCCCUUACAACCCUAAACAAAACAUUUUCUUAUCCUAGUACAGGCGAUCGAAAAAUUUCUAAGCGCUUCAGAUAAAGUACCGCAAGGGAAAGAUGAAAUAGAAUUGAAAUAACCUCAAAGCCUUAAAUAGCAGAGAU